UUAAAUUGAAGAGUUUGAUCAUGGCUCAGAUUGAACGCUGGCGGCAGGCCUAACACAUGCAAGUCGAACGGUAACAGGAAGAAGCUUGCUUCUUUGCUGACGAGUGGCGGACGGGUGAGUAAUGUCUGGGAAACUGCCUGAUGGAGGGGGAUAACUACUGGAAACGGUAGCUAAUACCGCAUAACGUCGCAAGACCAAAGAGGGGGACCUUCGGGCCUCUUGCCAUCGGAUGUGCCCAGAUGGGAUUAGCUAGUAGGUGGGGUAACGGCUCACCUAGGCGACGAUCCCUAGCUGGUCUGAGAGGAUGACCAGCCACACUGGAACUGAG
rnacentral:rRNA from 1 species